rnacentral:lncRNA from 1 species
ACAAACUAGUUAUCUUGCAAAAUUUAUUUCAACAUGCAUUAUCCGAACCACCAAAGAUGGGAACACUGCAUGGAUAAAUAUGAUAAAAACCAUGAUGGAUUUAGAAGCCUGGUGCUCAGGUGAAAUCAGACACGUGUUGGACGCACUUGUAUUGAUGGUAACCUAGCAGGUGAUCUGAACUGGUAAGGCCAUCUUACCCGCUUGCCUCACGCAAUGCUGAAUCAUUUUCAAAUUCAACGGGUGUUGGAAUGGACUCUUCACAUAUUAUCAAUCAAACCUGAAAACAUUUUCUCACAGAUCUGCGCCCAAGAGAAGACAUUUUUCCUGGAAUGGCAUUAAAAAAGAAUGAAAGAAAGAAAGAAAGUCAAGUAUAAUCCUUCCCACAAAUUCUGGAGGCUUCUGAAUAUCCUUCUGGUGAAUUUCCUUUCUGCCUUUGCCAGCCAAACGAGAGUGGCCGAACACGUUCUGCUUUUGCCACCAGAGAACCGUAAGAUGCUUCGGCAUGCGUCUCUCGUCGCCCAGGUUGGAGGGGUGAGCGGGGAUCCCCAUCCCCUUUUUAAGUAUUGGGAACCGUGGGUUCAGAGAGGUUGA